UGAGUAAUGUCUGGGAAACUGCCCGAUAGAGGGGGAUAACUACUGGAAACGGUAGCUAAUACCGCAUAACCUCGUAAGAGCAAAGUGGGGGACCUUCGGGCCUCACGCUAUCGGAUGUGCCCAGAUGGGAUUAGCUAGUAGGUGGGGUAAUGGCUCACCUAGGCGACGAUCCCUAGCUGGUCUGAGAGGAUGACCAGCCACACUGGAACUGAGACACGGUCCAGACUCCUACGGGAGGCAGCAGUGGGGAAUAUUGCACAAUGGGCGCAAGCCUGAUGCAGCCAUGCCGCGUGUAUGAAGAAGGCCUUCGGGUUGUAAAGUACUUUCAGCGGGGAGGAAGGCGCUGUGGUUAAUAACCACGGCGAUUGACGUUACCCGCAGAAGAAGCACCGGCUAACUCCGUGCCAGCAGCCGCGGUAAUACGGAGGGUGCAAGCGUUAAUCGGAAUUACUGGGCGUAAAGCGCACGCAGGCGGUCUGUCAAGUCAGAUGUGAAAUCCCCGGG
rnacentral:rRNA from 1 species